rnacentral:miRNA from 1 species
UUUGUACUACACAAAAGUACUG